GUCGUUUCUCUUCAACGGACUGACUGCCGACUUGAUGUUUGCGAAUGCACUUAGAGAACGUUCGCCCGUUCGAGCCCGCGAUUCCACGACGUUUGUGGAAAGAAUUAUAUAAAGUUAGCACUUAACGAAUUAAGCAAAUUCUGACGUCGUGCGAUAUAACGUCAACGUAUAUACCACAGUCGAUGAGCAAAUAUUACGUCGAUAAACAUUUCUACUUCUUAAAGGAUCCGCUAUAUUCUUCAACCGGACUUCCACCGUAGGCAUCAAACUACUCUCGUGGAUUUAUACUACACACGCUGUGACAGCUGAGCCAGGGAAAGAAGAAAGAAAAAGAAGAAAAAGGGGAAAAAAAGAAAAAAAAAACAAAGGCCCUCCCCGAACAUCUCCGUCUCUCGCUCUCGAUAUCUCUCGACGUCCUUCUUACCACAAAUCCGACGACGUUACCUACAAAGAGCAGAAGGAGGAUGAGGGAUGAGGGAAGAGGAAGAGGAGGAGGGGGAGGGGGAGGGGGAGGAGGAGGAGGAGGAGGAGAAUUUUUGAAGGCAGCCGGUCGGUCUCAACUCGUCGUAUUCGUGCGGUGAAAGAGAUCUCGGACGCUGGUGGAAUCGACGGCAAGAAACUGCAAUUUUCUAAAGUACGGCCUUAGCUACGGGGUCCGUCUUUAUCCCGGGGUCAAAUUCGCACCGACCACCCCCUUCACCUUCGAUUCUUCCACCAAGGGAAGAAGGAACCGGCCACGAACCGGCCACCAACCGGCCACGAAUCGUUCCGCUAUAGGCAUCCGCUACCUCCGAGCGACGACAGCGGCGGCAUAGAUGAUAAUGAUGGCGUCGGCAUCGGCAUCGGCGUCAGCGUCGGCGGCAACGGCAACGACAACAGCAGCUUUUGAUGACAAUGACGACGAAGAAGAGAUGCAGGCGACGGUGUCAACGUGGACGACGGCGACGGCAGCGACGGCGACGACGGCGGCGGCAGCGGCGGCAGCAGCGACGGCGGCGACGACGUCGACGACGUCGACGAUGACGAUGAAGCCAAACGGCUUUCAUGUUUUCACUUAACUUACUAGCUCUUUUUAUCUAGUACAUUAUUUACAGUCCAUAUUUACUUAUGUUACAUCAUUCGCCGGGACUCGCGGCGCAAAAUCCCAAAGCGAACACAGCACUAUCCUACGUACGUUCGUUGCGUUUCGUCUCUUUCUUUUUUCUUUCUUCCCUCUCUCUUUCUCUCUCUCUCUCUUUCUCUCUUUCUCUCACGCUCUCUCUUUCUCUGGUCUCCCUCCCCCCCUCUCUCUCUCUCUCUUUCUCUGGUGUUGUCUCUCUCGUCUCUCUUUAUGUCUGCUUUUCUUUUUUCUCUCUGUUCUCAUUCGUCGUGCUCUGUCCUUCAGACAUUCUCUAUCUCUCUUUCUCAUAAUUAACCCAAAACAUUUUUCCAAUCCAGUUCUCAUUCUUCAAUAUUGUCCUUCUUCGAUACGCGCACUGAUAAGUAUAUGAAGAUAAAGAGAAAGAAAGAUAGAAAGAGCGAUACAGAGAGAGAGAGAUAGAGAGAGAGA